GCAAGUGGCCUUUGACAAAGUCAGGGCUCGAAAGGCAGCAGCACUCAGCGUCUGUCACAGCGGCAGCCGUGUUGCCCAGCUUGAGCUGAGUCAACGAGCG
rnacentral:SRP_RNA from 14 species